UACAGAGGUCCCGAGCGUUGUUCGGAUUCACUGGGCGUAAAGGGUGCGCGGGUGGGUUGGCAAGUUUGAUGUGAAAGCCCCGGGCUUAACCCGGGAAUGGCAUUGAAUACUGCUGAUCUCGAGGAUCGGAGGGGGGACUGGAACUCUUGGUGUAGCAGUGAAAUGCGUAGAUAUCAAGAGGAACACCAGUGGCGAAGGCGAGUCCCUGGACGAUACCUGACACUGAGGCACGAAAGCCGGGGGAGCAAACAGG
rnacentral:rRNA from 1 species